CAAAGCAGACCCUGCUGAGGAACUCACAAUAGGUGCCUUUCACUGGCAGGACAACCUUGGCCUCAGUGGCACUUAUAACAAAGCUUCCAUAUGUGCACCAGUAUGGGCUGAUCAGUCAGAUCAACACCACACAGGAUCAGAGCCUGGGUAUUUGUGAGCAAGAAGCAAUAAUACCUCACAAAAUUUCUCCAUCUUCCUGAAAAAAAUAGUUUCUGGCAAUCUUCAGGUUGGUGCAAAGACUAUGUAAUGCAUCAGUGCCAGAAACCUUCCUCCUCCUUUCUGAAAGGCAGUGAGUAGAAGCAACUAUAAAAUGCUCUGUAGACCAGGAGAUCAUGAAGCAGACCUCUGUCCUGCAGCCCAGCCUGGGCAGUGGAGCUAUGGUGAGGUGGCUGCACUGUCCUGCCCUCUGAGAGCAGUUGCCAGGCUGGUUUGGGCAGAGGAUGUUGUCUAACCUGUUGGGUCGCCAGGAUAAACUUUAACUCCCUACUACAGAUUGAACAACUUGUUCCUGUGACUGCUUUCUAGCUAUAUAAAACCAACACAGCUCUUCCUGUUGGCUUGAAGAAAAAGAAAACAAUUAAGCAAUAUCCAGAUUUUUAUGAAGUAGAUACCUACAUAACUAGUGGCAGCACAAAUACAUGCCAAGCCAGCAGAUACUGGAAAAAGAAAGAUCAUAACUAUGGGAGCCACAUGAGAUCAUAAUUAGC